GAUUCUCAAUAUUUUUGUGCCUCCUCAUACGGAGAUCCCUUAUAGAGCUCAGUGCCGUCUGUGCUGGUCAAGCGUUACUAAAAAUGGGAAUCAUCAGGAUUAAAGGAUUGGAGCGAGUUUGUUGAACGCAUCCUCCAGUUCAUGAAUAUCAUCUGCUUCAUCUUCUGAGGUUCCUUCCUCCACCUAAACCACGAACUGCUCGUCCGACUUUUUGAACUCCUGCGAAUUCGUGAACUCCUGCCCGCCUGUGCUUCUCCACGUUCUGCAUUAGUGGUGGCACACCAUUCCCAUCGAAUGGCAUUGCCAUCAAGCCACACGGAUAUGCUGCUGAUAGCGUUUGUAGAUAGUCCCAGGUAUUUUUUACCAUUCCCAUUAUUGUUUCGAAAUAACUUGCUUCUGGAUGGGGAAUAAAAUAGUCGACAAUUCGGCUUAUUAUUCAAAUUUUUAGUAAUUUGCUGAUUCACAAUACAUUGUUGAAAAUGCGGGCCCUGACUUAGGGUUGCAAUAAAAUUCAGCCAGGCUGAAGCCAUGUGCGCCUCCAGCAGCGCCAGGAUUACGUGUGCCUCCCAUGGCAACGUGGCUAUG